UCAUAAUUUUCAAGUAUAAAUUGUCCGAGUUCUUAUUUAUUUUCAUUGGUUUGAAAGUUCUUGCAAGAAUUCAACUCUAAUAUCAUGAAGUUCAUAACAUGUGUCGUUAUCCUUGCUAUGUUACUUUGCUUGAUGAAAGAGGCAGACGCAAAGAAGAAGAAGUGGUGCGUUUGCUAUAAAGGAUGGUGUUACUGUCGCAACAAGCGUUCCCUUGACAUGGUGGAGGAAGAUGGACAUGACCUUGUGGAAAAAAUGAGAGAGACGGAGUUCGCGAAGAGAAUAUUGAGAGCUGGGAUGAAGUAAUUUAAAAUCAGAAGUGAAGAAAGACAUUUAAUCGAAUCAAAAGAAGAAGUGGAAAAAAUGUCUUGAAAAAUUAAUAAAUCUUUACUGAUUGCAUUUUA